rnacentral:rRNA from 1 species
UACGUAGGGUGCGAGCGUUGUCCGGAAUUAUUGGGCGUAAAGAGCUCGUAGGCGGUCUGUCGCGUCUGCUGUGAAAUCCCGAGGCUCAACCUCGGGCUUGCAGUGGGUACGGGCAGACUAGAGUGCGGUAGGGGAGAAUGGAAUUCCUGGUGUAGCGGUGGAAUGCGCAGAUAUCAGGAGGAACACCGAUGGCGAAGGCAGUUCUCUGGGCCGUAACUGACGCUGAGGAGCGAAAGCGUGGGGAGCGAACAGG